rnacentral:rRNA from 1 species
AACGAACGCUGGCGGCAGGCUUAACACAUGCAAGUCGAGCGCCCCGCAAGGGGAGCGGCAGACGGGUGAGUAACGCGUGGGAACGUACCCUUCUCUACGGAAUAACACAGAGAAAUUUGUGCUAAUACCGUAUACGCCCUACGGGGGAAAGAUUUAUCGGGGAUGGAUGAGCCCGCGUUGGAUUAGCUAGUUGGUGGGGUAAAGGCCUACCAAGGCGACGAUCCAUAGCUGGUCUGAGAGGAUGAUCAGCCACAUUGGGACUGAGACACGGCCCAAACUCCUACGGGAGGCAGCAGUGGGGAAUAUUGGACAAUGGGCGCAAGCCUGAUCCAGCCAUGCCGCGUGAGUGAUGAAGGCCCUAGGGUUGUAAAGCUCUUUCACCGAUGAAGAUAAUGACGGUAGUCGGAGAAGAAGCCCCGGCUAACUUCGUGCCAGCAGCCGCCGUAAUGC